GACGAACGCUGGCGGCGUGCCUAAUACAUGCAAGUAGGACGCACAGUUUAUACCGUAGCUUGCUACACCAUAGACUGUGAGUUGCGAACGGGUGAGUAACGCGUAGGUAACCUGCCUAUUAGAGGGGGAUAACUAUUGGAAACGAUAGCUAAUACCGCAUAACAGUAUGUAACACAUGUUAGAUGCUUGAAAGAUGCAAUUGCAUCGCUAGUAGAUGGACCUGCGUUGUAUUAGCUAGUAGGUAGGGUAAAGGCCUACCUAGGCAACGAUACAUAGCCGACCUGAGAGGGUGAUCGGCCACACUGGGACUGAGACACGGCCCAGACUCCUACGGGAGGCAGCAGUAGGGAAUCUUCGGCAAUGGGGGGAACCCUGACCGAGCAACGCCGCGUGAGUGAAGAAGGUUUUCGGAUCGUAAAGCUCUGUUGUUAAGGAAGAACGAGUGUGAGAAUGGAAAGUUCAUACUGUGACGGUACUAA
rnacentral:rRNA from 1 species